UAUUUAUGUUCAUGGAGAAAUGUGUUAUUAAGUCCAGUGAUGAGCCUGUCGACGCCGGGUCAGAAAUAUAAAUAAAAUGCUACCACUGACCACGGUGCGUCAGAUCAUUAGUAUGCACUUGAUCGCAUUUACUUAUUAGGAGGAGAAUGUUUUAGCGCAGUGUCUGUGCGUAUAAAAUGGGGGUGCGGGAAACGCAGCUCUCCAGUAGUCAUCUGGAAGCUGUCUUUCUGCCUCCUCUUUUUAUACAGACUGGGACACGGGCUACUCCCCAUGUAGAGGAGGAGCCUUUCCAGUAGCACCUUGGCUAGGGCACCCGCCAGGUGUGGGCAUGUUGGGAAUAAGAUCUCGAGGAUCAAAUUAAAUAUCAUAACACUCCAUAUAACUCCCUAGUGGAAUUUUAUAAAACAGUACUGAAAUCGUUAUGAUAUAGUAGUGGAGAAACCGGGAUCGAGCGUUAUGAUAUAGUGGUGGAAUCCGGGUUUCCAACUUGUCCUAGCCGCCCCACGGAAAAGCCAUCAACGACAUAACGGACACAAUUGGGACACAAACCUAAAGCAACAGCGCCUCCACAGCAUCGUCUGAUCAUUACCACGGACGCAAACAACGCCUGGGAUGCUCUUCAACACCCGGGACCGAAUCGAUUCCCUGGACGUAAUCAACGCUUACAGCAUAUCAACGCGGACGGAUACAACGCCCCGGACGCACAUCAGGUCCCGGACAUUAACAACGCACCGGAGAACCUCCCUAGCAUCAGCCAGGAAUAUGUAGCAACGAGAACUACAUGACACAGUACAAACAGCAGAUGUAUAUGUACGAGCCAUCUGAAUCACAGCGAAGAUCCGAAUAAAAUUCAAAAUUAUAUUAAAUGUUUUUAAUCUUGA